AAUGAAUCUCAAAGUAAAUUUGGAUUACAGCGCGGAAAAAAUAUUUGAUUCGACAAGUAAAUUUACCUCUUUUUGGAUUGUUAACUGGUUUUUUGGUCAAUCAGUCGUAGUCAGGAAGUGGGUUCCAACUGAUUUGUCUUGUGGUACGCUGAAAGAAUUUAUUCAAUUUUUUACACCCCCUUUUUACUCGUGGAUGCCCGUGAUUGGCGCAAAUGGUUUUGCUUUGGCUUCGUGACUCCGUGACCAUAUGAUGACAAGUAUUUUUGUUGCUGUAAUCGGAUUUCUUACGACCGCGUCCGUUUUCUGGCUCUUUAUUGUUGAUUCCUUUAUUCAAUUUGGCCUCAUAUAGUAUGUCACAGUUCUCGUUUCACAUGAAAGAAAAUCGUCCAACAAUUUGGUUAAAAUCUUGUCUGCCAAGACGUUGCAUAGCGUAAAAGUAAUUAUAUUUGAGUUUUCACGCCUGACUAGGAUGAUUUUCCUGAAAUGAAUUGGCUUUGACUCGGUAUUUGUAAUUCGAAUUUUUAUUUAUUUUUAUUUCAAUUCAUUGUAUUGGCCAAUCUUCUCGAAAAGAUAAGAGAAACGUUUCAAAUUAUUAAUCGGGGUAAUUUUCAAUCACAAAAUAAAGCUAAGAUAGGAAAAGAAAUGUUGUUUCUGAAGAUAAAGUUAUUCCAAAGAAUCUUUGGAAUAACUGCCUAAGAUCAAAUUUUCACUCGAUUUAUCAGUAAUCUAGGAACCAGACUUAUCGUUUCUGAAGUAAAGAAAAAAGAAAACCAGAUUGCAGCAUGCAGUAACUGUUACAUCACAUGAAAAAUUUAAUUACUUCUCAACUUGAUGCAAUUUUCGUAAAAAUGAUGUCAUCGUACAGAAUUAUACAGAUCUAAAAUGUAGAGGCAGAAACUGUCGAACUCGAACCGUUUGUUACCUUGGCGAAUGAAUACAUUUCUUGUAGUGCUAUAUGAAUAUGGCCCAGUUUGAAGUAGUUUUAUUUUUUUGCGCGUGAUUAAGUGAAUUAGUUCAUCAAAUUUUCUUUAUCCCCAAAGCCAAAUGUAAACGAAAAUGGGAAAAACGGAGUAACGGACACUUCGACAGUAGCUAGAUGUCGCUAGCAUCGCAUUGUUUUUCCUCACAUGUCGAAAGUUCUUGCGGUUUUCUUCUCAAUUUUCUUUGUGUUUUUGGAAUAAUUUGGAACAAUUUUUACGCCAUCACUAGAAGGAACACAGUGUGGAACAAUAUGGAUAAAUAUUUGCCCGUUUUUUUCCCUAAACACUUGAUGAUUUCUCAUUUCUAUGGACAGAUCAUAAAGACUGUCUGAAGGAAUGCAUUUUUGCGAAAGUUACUACUGGAAUGUAAUGUGAAUUAUACUGCAACUCCUUUCUAUAAAAGUGCAUCAAGAGACAGCAGUCAACUCACCAACAAUGAAUAUCGCUGGAAUCGGUCUACCAUCACUAUCUAGCUAAAGUGGUUUUUCCAAUAUCUAAUUGAUGAUGAAUAAAUGUGUGCUAGAAAAACUGAAUCAGUCGAGUAUUCCCUGGUGGAUGGGAUGGAGAGUUGAAAUACAGUCCUUACUAUUUCGGUUUCUUUUAACGAUAAGAAAGUAAGGCAAGACGCGUAUCCGGGUGACAUCCACAACUUCCAUUGCGCAAAGGACUCGAUAUAGAGGCCGCUGUCGAAACCGGCGGAUUACGAAGCUCACAUUUAGUCAUUUACGAUGUUUUUCACCUCGGAUAUUUGUUGAGCUUCACUACAACGGGUGUGGAAUCCUGGAAGUUUUGUUGCUGCCUGGCUACUAGCUCCGGUAAACAUUUGGUCUUGCGGAUGCAUUUGUGCCAUAUUAUUGCCACCAGAGAAGCCGUUCUUUUUAGUGGACAGUCGGAGGGGGUUGAUUCUUCCAAAAUCUUUAAUUCCCUUCAAUCGAGAGUCGGCCACCGAUGUCAAUCUAUAAUGCUGUUUCUUUAUUGGAAUUGUCGGAGAUCCAUCAGCAAAUGCUUGCCUUGUCCAUGACGUAAGAAUGACUGAUACCAAGGUUCUGCACUAUCAAUAUCUUCGCGACGCACGCUCAUCUAGCUUCACUGCUUGUUAUGCUGCUACUCAAUGACGAGUUAGACGACUCCAGUGAUCGCUUCCAUCCGUUUUGACACACCUGUAGUGACUCACCAAGGGACUAUGCCCAGGACUGACGUCGAUUGUUACCACCAAUUUUGAAGUUUUGGGCUGUAGCUGUUUGUGGUGUAUUGGCUGCUUUUCGGUGAGGACGAAAUGAUCAUGACUUGGAUUUGGAAUCCUGGAUGUGUUCCUCACUAUAAUCUCCGGUCAACAUUUGGUCUUGCGGAUGCAUGUGUGCCAUUCUUUCCCGCCAGAAGCCGUUCUUGUUGGGUGGACAGCCGGAAGUGGUUGAUUCCUGCAAAAUCUUUAACAUUAUUUUUUACGUCCUUCGGAUCUCGAGUCGGCCGCCGAUGUCAAUCUACAACGCAGUUUCUUUGAUGGAAUUGUGUGGUCCCUGCACGGGGACAGAAAAGUCAUGGACGUUUUGCAUCAUCGAUAUCUUCGUGACGCACGCUCAUCUUGCUUUACUGUUUCUCAUGCUGCUACCCAACUCGUCUUAGCACUGGCCAGUUUGACCACUCAAGUGAUCGCUUCCGGCCGCUGUUACACACCUGCAGUCACUCACCACGGGAUUACCAACACCACGAGGUAAUGCAGAGAUGUUGCCUAGAUGAACAUUGAACACCAAAAGAUUGACGGCAGCCCUAAAAUGUCAGCGUGGAUCAUCGUAUUGUUGCUAUUGUUGCGUUUGUUUUGUGUUAGUUAACCCGUUGUCUGCCACGCCUUUG